rnacentral:tRNA from 1 species
CUUUAAAGGAUAGUAG